UACGUAGGCAGCGAGCGUUGUUCGGAGGUACUGGGCGUAAAGCGUGCGUAGGCGGUGUCUUAAGUUUGUUGUGAAAUCUCCCGGCUUAACCGGGAGGGUGCGGCGAAUACUGAGAUGCUGGAGUGCCGGAGAGGUAAGCGGAAUUCACGGUGUAGCAGUGAAAUGCGUAGAUAUCGUGAGGAACACCAGAGGCGAAGGCGGCUACCUGGACAAUUGCUGACGCUCAGGCACGAAAGCGUGGGGAGCAAAAGGG
rnacentral:rRNA from 1 species